CCCUUAGAUGUCCUGGGCCGCACGCGUGCUACACUGACGCCUACAGCGAGUACUUCCCAGCCCCGAGAGGUGGCUGGUAAUCAGCAAUAGGCGUCGUGAUGGGGAUAGAUCUUUGGAAUUAUGGAUCUUGAACGAGGAAUGCCUAGUAAGCGCAGGUCAUUAGCCUGCGCUGAUUAAGUCCCUGCCCUUUGUACACACCGCCCGUCGCUACUACCGAUUUCGAGUGGUCCGGUGAAUCUUUCGGACUGCGCGCGGCCUCGUGCCGUGUCGCGGAAAGUCAGGUAAACCUUAUCACUUAGAGGAAGGAGAAGUCGUAACA
rnacentral:rRNA from 1 species